UCCCAGACUCCUACGGGAGGCAGCAGUGGGGAAUAUUGGGCAAUGGGCGCAAGCCUGACCCAGCAACGCCGCGUGAAGGAAGAAGGCUUUCGGGUUGUAAACUUCUUUUCUCAGGGACGAAUAGAUGACGGUACCUUAGGAAUAAGCCUCGGCUAACUACGUGCCAGCAGCCGCGGUAAUACGUAGGAGGCAAGCGUUAUCCGGAAUGACUGGGCGUAAAGGGUGCGUAGGUGGUUUGACAAGUUGGUAGCGUAACUCCGAGGCUUAACCUCGGCACUACUACCAAAACUGUUGGACUCGAGUGCAGGAGGGGCAAAUGGAAUUCCUAGUGUAGCGGUGGAAUGCGUAGAUAUUAGGAGGAACACCAGUGGCGAAGGCGAUUUGCUGGACUGUAACUGACACUGAGGCACGAAAGCGUGGGGAGCAAACAGGAUUAGAUACCCGUGUAUA
rnacentral:rRNA from 1 species